UUAAAUUGAAGAGUUUGAUCAUGGCUCAGAUUGAACGCUGGCGGCAGGCCUAACACAUGCAAGUCGAACGGUAACAGGAAGCAGCUUGCUGCUUUGCUGACGAGUGGCGGACGGGUGAGUAAUGUCUGGGAAACUGCCUGAUGGAGGGGGAUAACUACUGGAAACGGUAGCUAAUACCGCAUAACGUCGCAAGACCAAAGAGGGGGACCUUCGGGCCUCUUGCCAUCGGAUGUGCCCAGAUGGGAUUAGCUAGUAGGUGGGGUAACGGCUCACCUAGGCGACGAUCCCUAGCUGGUCUGAGAGGAUGACCAGCCACACUGGAACUGAGACACGGUCCAGACUCCUACGGGAGGCAGCAGUGGGGAAUAU
rnacentral:rRNA from 1 species